GAUGAACGCUGGCGGCGUGCCUAAUACAUGCAAGUCGAGCGAACAGAUGAGGAGCUUGCUCCUCUGACGUUAGCGGCGGACGGGUGAGUAACACGUGGAUAACCUACCUAUAAGACUGGGAUAACUUCGGGAAACCGGAGCUAAUACCGGAUAAUAUAUUGAACCGCAUGGUUCAAUAGUGAAAGACGGUUUUGCUGUCACUUAUAGAUGGAUCCGCGCCGCAUUAGCUAGUUGGUAAGGUAACGGCUUACCAAGGCAACGAUGCGUAGCCGACCUGAGAGGGUGAUCGGCCACACUGGAACUGAGACACGGUCCAGACUCCUACGGGAGGCAGCAGUAGGGAAUCUUCCGCAACGGGCGAAAGCCUGACGGAGCAACGCCGCGUGAGUGAUGAAGGUCUUCGGAUCGUAAAACUCUGUUAUUAGGGAAGAACAAAUGUGUAAGUAACUAUGCACGUCUGGACGGUACCUAAUCAGAAAGCCACGGCUAACUACGU
rnacentral:rRNA from 1 species